GAUGAAGUGCCUGAGAAAAGGAUUAUCUUGAUAGGAUAAAACACGUAUAAUUUUACCUUCAUUA
rnacentral:tRNA from 1 species